rnacentral:rRNA from 1 species
GACGAACGCUGGCGGCGUGCUUAACACAUGCAAGUCGAACGGAAAGGCCCUGCUUUUGUGGGGUGCUCGAGUGGCGAACGGGUGAGUAACACGUGAGUAACCUGCCCUUGACUUUGGGAUAACUUCAGGAAACUGGGGCUAAUACCGGAUAGGAGCUCCUGCUGCAUGGUGGGGGUUGGAAAGUUUCGGCGGUUGGGGAUGGACUCGCGGCUUAUCAGCUUGUUGGUGGGGUAGUGGCUUACCAAGGCUUUGACGGGUAGCCGGCCUGAGAGGGUGACCGGCCACAUUGGGACUGAGAGACGGCCCAGACUCCUACGGGAGGCAGCAGUGGGGAAUAUUGCACAAUGGGCGGAAGCCUGAUGCAGCAACGCCACGUGCGGGAUGACGGCCUUCGGGUUGUAAACCGCUUUCGCCUGUGACGAAGCGUGAGUGACGGUAAUGGGUAAAGAAGCACCGGCUAACUACGUG